AAACCAUGAUAGGGGCAUCUUCUAAGGAGAUCCUUGAAUCUUUCAUAGGCUUCAAACAAUGUUUAGGAUUUUCCUUGUUUGAAGGCCGAAAUUUCCUAUCUCAAUUU